UACGAGGGGAGCAAGCGUUGUUCGGAUUUACUGGGCGUAAAGGGCGCGUAGGCGGUCGUGACAAGUCACUUGUGAAAUCUCCGGGCUUAACUCGGAACGGUCAAGUGAUACUGUCGGACUAGAGUACAGAAGGGGCAACUGGAAUUCUCGGUGUAGCGGUGAAAUGCGUAGAUAUCGAGAGGAACACCUGCGGCGAAGGCGGGUUGCUGGGCUGAUACUGACGCUGGUGUGCGAAGAACCCAGGGGAGCGAACGGG
rnacentral:rRNA from 1 species